AUUGGUGACUUUAAUGAGAUUUUGUUCUCGUCGGAAAAGGAGGGAGGUGCACCGCGACUCCAAUCGAGGUUACAGGCCUUCCAAGAUGCACUUUCAUAUUGUUGCCUGGAGGACAUAGGUUACCACGGAGACAAGUUCACAUGGUUUCAAGGAGGAUUGUGGGAACGUUUAGAUCAUGCUGUAUCUAACGCUGGAUGGAUGGAGAUUCAUCGCAUGUCCGGGCUGUGCAAUCUAAAGAUGGGGAAGUCGGACCAUCGACCGAUUUGCCUAGACACAGAAUAUCUGGCGGGCGUUGCAGCGCCUAGGUCACGACCUAGUCAGAAAUUCGAAGCGCGUUGGCUGUCAGAAGAGAUAGUGGAAGAGGUGGUCAAGACGGCAUGGCAGAAGGCAGUGGUGCAUGGCCUAUGCUCGUCGGCAAGCGCAAAACUCGAGGUUGUCCAGAAAGAACUACAUGACUGA
rnacentral:rRNA from 1 species